rnacentral:misc_RNA from 1 species
UACAGAAGCCCCAAGCGUUACCCGGAAUCACUGGCGUAAAGGGUGCGUAGGCGGCUAUAUUAGUCGGGUGUUAAAUCCUGGGGCUCAACCUCAGAAUCGCAUUCGAAACGGUAUAGCUAGGAGGAGUGAGAGGUGUGCGGAACUCAAGGUGUAGGGGUGAAAUCCGUUGAUAUCUUGGGGAACACCAAAUGCGAAGGCAAUGCACUGGCGCUCUCUCGACGCUGAGGCACGAAAGCGUGGGUAGCGAAUGGG